rnacentral:rRNA from 1 species
AUGGGUGGCCUGGCAUGCCCUGCUGCCGCAUCCGGACGACUACCGCGACGGUGCCCUAGGUUCUGGCCUCCCGCACGACGGCGCUGGAGGUGGUUCCCUCCCGUUCGGCUUCGGUGCCGCUUCUCCCUCCUCGCGGCGCUUCUCUCCGGUUCUCUUGGCCUCGUGUUGGUGUUUGCAGUGAGGCGGCGUGGGUGGCGGCGCAACCGCGAUGGCGCAUGGUGGAGGGCGGCGGUCUGGCUGGUCGGCUCCGGUCCAUUGGGCGGUGGGGUUGGAGUGCGGGAGAAAUCAUUGCUGGUUCUCCGGCUCUGA